rnacentral:lncRNA from 1 species
GUAUAUUUCAUUUCAGUAACAUAUCACAUCAAAUAAAAUACAUCAUCCACCGACUCCAUGCAUUAAGGUUCAACGCCUAACAAGUGCACAUCACAAUAAUUUUACAUGUGCACAACAGAAUACUUCUGCAAGUGCAAGUGCACAAAAAAAGGACCCAACAAAUGCAUAAUCGCACAUAAAGAGAGUUCCACAAAGAUUGGGUGAGAACCACAAGUUUCUUCUCAUCCUCUUCCUCUACACAAUAUUCAACUCUU